AGAGUUUGAUCCUGGCUCAGGAUGAACGCUAGCGGCAGGCCUAAUACAUGCAAGUCGAACGGCAAGAGUUCUAGCAAUAGAAUUCCUAGAGUGGCGAACGGGUGCGUAACGCGUAUGCAACCUACCCCAUACAGGGAGAUAGCCCGGAGAAAUCUGGAUUAAUACCCCAUGGCAUCAUUGAGCUGCAUGGUUUAAUGAUUAAAGAUUCAUCGGUAUGGGAUGGGCAUGCGUCUGAUUAGCUAGUUGGUGAGGUAAUGGCUCACCAAGGCUACGAUCAGUAGGGGUUCUGAGAGGAAGGUCCCCCACACUGGCACUGAGAUACGGGCCAGACUCCUACGGGAGGCAGCAGUAGGGAAUAUUGGGCAAUGGACGAGAGUCUGACCCAGCCAUGCCGCGUGCAGGAAGACGGCGUUCUGCGUUGUAAACUGCUUUUAUCUGGGAAGAAAAUGCCCUUGCGAGGGAAAUUGCCGGUACCAGAUGAAUAAGCACCGGCUAACUCCGUGCCAGCAGCCGCGGUAAUACGGAGGGUGCAAGCGUUGUCCGGAUUUAUUGGGUUUAAAGGGUGCGUAGGCGGCUGAUUAAGUCAGUGGUGAAAGUUUUGGGCUCAACCCAGAAAUUGCCAUUGAUACUGGUCGGCUUGAGUAUUGGAGGGGUACAUGGAAUUGAUGGUGUAGCGGUGAAAUGCAUAGAUACCAUCAGGAACACCGAUAGCGAAGGCAUUGUACUGGCCAAUAACUGACGCUGAUGCACGAAAGCAUGGGUAGCGAACAGGAUUAGAUACCCUGGUAGUCCAUGCCGUAAACGAUGAUUACUCGCUGUUAUGCUCUAGCAGUGUAGCGGCCAAGCGAAAGCGUUAAGUAUCCCCCUGG
rnacentral:rRNA from 1 species